rnacentral:lncRNA from 1 species
GGAACACAAAGCUCGCGGCGCCCGAGGGGGAAAUAGCAACAAGAUUACGGCUGCUUUAUUCUGGCGAGGAGGCGUAAGAAGGAUGCGUGCGGCGGGACGCCCGGCCUCGGCCAGCGGCAACUAGGAGGGGAAGGGGACGGCUCGUCGGGAUUCAGGCACCCACCCUGGAGGGCAGGCACACGGGGCACAGGUUCGUACUUCACUCUGCACUUUGCUCCUCUUCUCUUUUGCCUCUCUGAUUUUUUUC